rnacentral:rRNA from 1 species
UGGGGAAUAUUGCACAAUGGGCGCAAGCCUGAUGCAGCCAUGCCGCGUGUAUGAAGAAGGCCUUCGGGUUGUAAAGUACUUUCAGCGGGGAGGAAGGGAGUAAAGUUAAUACCUUUGCUCAUUGACGUUACCCGCAGAAGAAGCACCGGCUAACUCCGUGCCAGCAGCCGCGGUAAUACGGAGGGUGCAAGCGUUAAUCGGAAUUACUGGGCGUAAAGCGCACGCAGGCGGUUUGUUACGUCAGAUGUGAAAUCCCCGGGCUCAACCUGGGAACUGCAUCUGAUACUGGCAAGCUUGAGUCUCGUAGAGGGGGGUAGAAUUCCAGGUGUAGCGGUGAAAUGCGUAGAGAUCUGGAGGAAUACCGGUGGCGAAGGCGGCCCCCUGGACGAAGACUGACGCUCAGGUGCGAAAGCGUGGGGAGCAAACAGG